GUAGAGUUAGAGCAAAUUUUAGCUCCUUACACAGAUUUUCACUACAGGCAUAAUCCAGACACAGCAGAAGGACAACUCAAAGAGGACAGAGAAGCACGGUUCCUAGCUAGUAAAAUGGGAAUAGUGGCAGCAUUUCGAUCAUGGGCAGGUA